rnacentral:misc_RNA from 1 species
UGAUUACGUCCCUGCCCUUUGUACACACCGCCCGUCGCUCCCCGGGACUGAGUUGUUUCGAGAAAGCCACGGACCGGUGGCAUUUCAUGUUUCGGCAUGAUUGUCGCUGGAAAGUGGUUUAAUCGCAACGGCUUGAACCGGGGAAAAGUCGUAACAAGGUCACGGUAGGUGAACCUGCCGUGAGAUCAGGUAUCGAAAUACAACAUACAAAUUUGACUGGCUGUGCGAUCGAAACUCGACGCACGUCGUGACAUUGCACUUGGUCGGUCAACCAAGCACCCUCGUGGUGUUUGGCUCGAUUGAAACGGCUUGUCUGGGCCUCUAUGUUAGCUUGAGCAGUUGUGUUACACGUCCGUGGCUGCAACGAAGGCUAUCGAUAGCGUUCGCUUCUCGGAGCUGAGCGUGAGAGUUGAUGACCCGGUCGGGCGCCCAGAAACCCAUAUACACUACAACAUAUCAAUGUCAAGAAGAAAGUGAAAAAGUUAUGUCGGCGAAUCACUUGGCUCGUGGGUCGAUGAAGAACGCAGUGAAUUGCGUUAAUAAGCACGAAUUACAGAUAUUAUGAGUGCCUUGUUGUCGAUUGCAUAUUGCGCCGUUGGGUCUUGCCCUUCGGCAUACACUACUCAGGGUGUUUUCCAGAAAAAGGACAUUCAACUUGUUGGGGUUGUCUGUUCGAUUGAACUGAGUGUGCGCUACCCAAAGGGUCAAGCUGCGCACGUUGAAUUGGUGAUGUGGACUGAGGAUGUUGAUCUGUCACCCCAGCCCAGUAUCCACUGUUGAGUUGUGUCAACACUGUACUUUGCCAAACAGCUCUUGAGUGAGAGGUCCUGUUGGGCUGCAUGGUGUCUAGUCAGUCAGUAGUGGAUAUACGCUGCCUAGUGCUGGCGGUCGGAUUGUGAUCCGAGUUGGCAGUGUUUUUACGUUCGAGCUCAGGACUCGAGAGGAACGGGCACCGACCAUUGAAUUGGUUUAAUUCACCUGAGUUGUGUAUGACUACCUGCCGAACUUAAGCAUAUCAGUAAGCAGAGGAAAAGAAACUAACAAGGAUUCCCUUAGUAACGGCGAGUGA